GACGAACGCUGGCGGCGUGCCUAACACAUGCAAGUCGAGCGGGGAUUUAAGUGGAAGUUCUUCGGAAUGGAGAUUUAAAUUCUAGCGGCGGACGGGUGAGUAACGCGUGAACAAUCUGUCCCGGACAGGGGGAUAACACUUGGAAACAGGUGCUAAUACCGCAUAAGACCACGGCCUCGCAUGGGGCUGAGGUCAAAGGAGCAAUCCGGUUCGGGGUGAGUUCGCGUCCGAUUAGCUGGUUGGUGAGGUAACGGCCCACCAAGGCGACGAUCGGUAGCCGGCCUGAGAGGGUGAACGGCCACAUUGGAACUGAGAGACGGUCCAAACUCCUACGGGAGGCAGCAGUGGGGAAUAUUGGGCAAUGGGCGAAAGCCUGACCCAGCAACGCCGCGUGAGGGAAGAAGGUUCUCGGAUUGUAAACCUCUGUCCUAUGGGACGAAGGAAGUGACGGUACCAUAGGAGGAAGCCCCGGCUAACUACGUG
rnacentral:rRNA from 1 species